rnacentral:rRNA from 1 species
AGUUCGAUUAUGGUCAGAUUGAACGCUGGCGGGAUGCUUUACAUGCAAGUCGAACGGCAGCACUGACCAUUCGUGGCGAGCGGGCGAACGGGUGAGUAAUGUAUCGGAACGUGCCUAGUAGGGGGAUAACUACGCGAAAGCGUAGCUAAUACCGCAUACUGCCCUUCGGGGGAAAGCUGGGACCUUUCGGGCCCCGCACUAUUAGAGCGGCCGAUAUCGGAUUAGCUAGUUGGUGGGGUAACGUCACCACAUGAUUGAUCCGUAGCUGGUUUGAGAGGACGCAUUCAGCCACACUGGGACUGAGACACGGCCCAGACUCCUACGGGAGGCAGCAGUGGGGAAUUUUGACAAUGGGGGAACCUGAUCUGCUCAACCGCGUGUUGAUGAAGGCCUUCGGGUUGUAAAGCACUUUUGGCAGUGAAAGAAACGGCACGUGAUAAUACCCGUGCAACUGACGGUACCUGCAGAAUAAGCACCGGCUAACUACGUGCCAGCAGCCGCGGUAAUACGUAGGGUGCGUUAAUCGGAAUUACUGGGCGUAAAGGUGCGUGCAGGCGGUUCGGAAAGAAAGAUGUGAAAUCCCAGAGCUUAACUUUGGAACUGCAUUUUUAACUACCGAGCUAGAGUGUCAGAGGGAGGUGGAAUUCCGCGUGUAGCAGUGAAAUGCGUAGAUAUGCGGAGGAACACCACGGCGAAGGCAGCCUCCUGGGAUAACACUGACGCUCAUGCACGAAAGCGUGGGGAGCAAACAGGAUUAGAUACCCCGGUAGUCCACGCCCUAAACGAUGUCAACUAGCUGUUGGGGCCUUCGGGCUCGGUAGCGCAGCUAACGCGUGAAGUUGACCGCCUGGGGAGUACGGUCGUAAGAUUAAAACUCAAAGGAAUUGACGGGGACCCGCACAAGCGGUGGAUGAUGUGGAUUAAUUCGAUGCAACGCGAAAACCUUACCUACCCUUGACAUGUCUGGAAUCCCGAAGAGAUUUGGGAGUGCUCGCAAGAGAACCGGAACACAGGUGCUGCAAGGGCUGUCGUCAGCCGUGUCGUGAGAUGUUGGGUUAAGUCCCGCAACGAGCGCAAACCCUUGUCAUUGGUUAAGCAUGAAAGGGUGACUCCAUCGAGACUGCCGGUGACAAACCGAGGAAGGUGGGGAUGACGUCAAGUCCUCAUGGCCCUUGCAGGGUAGGGCCCCACACGUCAUACAAUGAAAUGGGACAGAGGGUCGCCAACCCGCGAGGGGGAGCCAAUCCCAGAACCUGAUCGUAGUCCGGAUCGCAGUCUGCAACUCGACUUGCGUGAAGUCGGAAUCGUUAGUAAUCGCGGAUCAGCAUGUCGCGUGAAUACGUUCCCGGGUCUUGUACACACCGCCCGUCACACCAUGGGAGUGGGUUUUACCAGAAGUAGUUAGCCUAACCGUAAGGAGGCGAUUACCACGGUAGGAUUCAUGACUGGGGGUGAAGUCGUAACAAGGUAG